GCAUAUGAAUAGAGUGGAAAUUGUCUGACUUUGUGAUCUGUAAGGUAAGUAACAAUGUGGGGGAGGAGCCAUUGAAAUUGUAGUAUAUUUUUUUUUACCCUGAUGCCUGAAGAUGGUAAAUAACAUUAAUCGCAAUGGUUAGCCUAUGCAAAUUAACUCAAAUGAGCUGGCAACGUAGCUAGCUAGUUUACAUACUGUAUAGAUAGCUAGCUAAGUUAAUUACAUUUGACCAGCUACCUAACUUCAUAUUAGCUAGCUAUCUUGAUAUAUUUAACACUGUAAAAUACAUGUGUAGGUAGCUAGCUAACAGCCAUGGAGGAGGGUGAAAGAAUAGCAGGCCCAGUUGUCAAAGUGAGAGAGUAGGCUAUUCUGGCUAGAGCAGGUUCUUUGUGUAGUUCCAGUCCUUAGAAGUGAGAACAGAGAACAUCCUAUUCAGUGCUGUCUAAUUUGAGUAUAAUGAAGUCUGUUUCUUGUGAGGUUUUCUGUCCUCAGAUACAGAGAGCUGUGAAAGCCUGUCUACAGAUGAAGAGGUCCCAAUGAAGAGCAGUGGUUCUCAGUCCUGGUCCUCAAAGGGGUGCACAUUUUUGUAUUUGCCUUAGCACUAAACAUCUGAUUCAAAUGAUCAAGUCAUCAUCAAGCUUCAAGCGGUAUUUAUGUAUUCAUUUGUGACGCUAUCCUUGAUAUGAUCCUCCUGUUGUCACAUGCCACACACGCACAUGUAUCAAUCUACCCAAUGUUAUCAUGAUUUGUUAUAAGGGAUAUUAUACUUUAGUAAUUCACAAUGAUCUGGUAACGUAAAAGUCUAAUGAAAUGAUCUUCUAUUGUUUGUCCUCACGUGUUUGUUUUUCAGCAUAAAGUACUCUGUAGCCACUUAGUGUGGACACCAGGUUGUAUCAGCUGUGUUGGUAAACCCCUCCCGUAUCUGAACUGGCAGACACAGAGGGCACAGCAUGAUCAUAGGUAUGAUUUGAUGUGAGAGAGGAAGCCAGUCCCGUCAUCACCACCGCACCCGCUCUUAAGAUAACCUUUGGGCCAAAUGGGAGCCCAAGUCUGGUUAGGAGACACCGCUAGAGACACGAUGUAAUUGUGAUGAACUGAGAGAAUAUUAGGGAAGCACUGUCAUUCAUUAAUCAUAUGUUGUCUUCUCUGCUCCUCUUACCUCUUUCCCUUUCUGUCUUCCUCACCUCAUCUUUCUUCCUCUUUAAAAAACAAGUAUGCACUCCAUAUGUGCAUUGAAGUA